CUACGUGAUCUGCACCUUUAAACUUACUCCAUCUCAAACCAGACCCCGGAGGCACCACCCACAUCCGUCUAACAUCACUUCCUUCACGGUUUUGGAGAUCACAUUCAUUGGAGGACACUAGAAGAUGGGAAGAAGGAAGCAGCUGCAAGAGAGAGGGAGAGAGAGAAACAGAACGUGAGCAGGGGAGAGGCAGAGACAGGGAGAAUCCGAAGCAGGCUCCAGGCUCUGACCUGUCAGCACAGAGCCCCACCCUGGGCUGGAACUCAGACUGGGAGAUGGUGAACUGAGCUGAAGUCCCCAGCUUUACAGGCUGAGCCACCCAGGCGCCCCAGUUUUUCAAGUUCUAAAUCAAAUGACUGUUCCUAGAUAAAGUCUUAAGUGACUUUGGGGGGUAUGUUGUUUUUUCUCUAUUAUACUUUUAUAUCCCAACAACGUAUUCUAUCCAUGUAAGGUGCUUUAUUUUUCCCAUUCAGACUUCUAUGGGGAAACUGUUUUAUGUUCAUCUGAAUUCCCAAUCAUGAAGAAGUUGAAUGAUUGAAAUGGUUAUUGAGUAAACAGUUACUGAGGAUCACUGGGUGUAAGGAAAGAAGGGGAACUAGCAUUUGUGAAUGGUCUUUGUAUGAUAAAUAUGGUGCUGACUGCUUUGCAAUGUUUAAUGCUCAUUAGGGCCCUAUUAUAAACGGUUGGGCAGUCUUUGGCAGAUCACAUUCUCUUGAGGCUUAUUUGACAUAAAUAACUGAUGUCAUUCUUAUUUCCAUCUUUUUUCUGAGAGCAGAUCCUGGGUUUAGUUGGGGUAGAUC